UGGGGAAUAUUGGACAAUGGGCGAAAGCCUGAUCCAGCCAUGCCGCGUGUGUGAAGAAGGUCUUCGGAUUGUAAAGCACUUUAAGUUGGGAGGAAGGGCAUUAACCUAAUACGUUAGUGUUUUGACGUUACCGACAGAAUAAGCACCGGCUAACUCUGUGCCAGCAGCCGCGGUAAUACAGAGGGUGCAAGCGUUAAUCGGAAUUACUGGGCGUAAAGCGCGCGUAGGUGGUUUGUUAAGUUGGAUGUGAAAGCCCCGGGCUCAACCUGGGAACUGCAUCCAAAACUGGCAAGCUAGAGUACGGUAGAGGGGGGUGGAAUUUCCUGUGUAGCGGUGAAAUGCGUAGAUAUAGGAAGGAACACCAGUGGCGAAGGCGACCACCUGGACUGAUACUGACACUGAGGUGCGAAAGCGUGGGGAGCAAACA
rnacentral:rRNA from 1 species